rnacentral:piRNA from 1 species
UGUUAAGAUGGUUUCCCUGUGAGGUA